GCAAGUCGAGCGGUAGAGAGAAGCUUGCUUCUCUUGAGAGCGGCGGACGGGUGAGUAAUGCCUAGGAAUCUGCCUGGUAGUGGGGGAUAACGUUCGGAAACGGACGCUAAUACCGCAUACGUCCUACGGGAGAAAGCAGGGGACCUUCGGGCCUUGCGCUAUCAGAUGAGCCUAGGUCGGAUUAGCUAGUUGGUGGGGUAAUGGCUCACCAAGGCGACGAUCCGUAACUGGUCUGAGAGGAUGAUCAGUCACACUGGAACUGAGACACGGUCCANACUCCUACGGGAGGCAGCAGUGGGGAAUAUUGGACAAUGGGCGAAAGCCUGAUCCAGCCAUGCCGCGUGUGUGAAGAAGGUCUUCGGAUUGUAAAGCACUUUAAGUUGGGAGGAAGGGUUGUAAAUUAAUACUCUGCAAUUUUGACGUUACCGACAGAAUAAGCACCGGCUAACUCUGUGCCAGCAGCCGCGGUAAUACAGAGGGUGCAAGCGUUAAUCGGAAUUA
rnacentral:rRNA from 1 species